rnacentral:rRNA from 1 species
UACGUAGGGUGCAAGCGUUAAUCGGAAUUACUGGGCGUAAAGCGUGCGCAGGCGGUUUUGUAAGUCUGUCGUGAAAUCCCCCGGGCUCAACCUGGGAAUUGCGAUGGAGACUGCAAGGCUAGAAUCUGGCAGAGGGGGGGUAGAAUUCCACGUGUAGCAGUGAAAUGCGUAGAGAUGUGGAGGAACACCGAUGGCGAAGGCAGCCCCCCUGGGCCAAUACUGACGCUCAUGCACGAAAAGCGUGGGGGAGCAAAACAGGAU